CCUACGGGUGGCAGCAGUGGGGAAUAUUGGACAAUGGGGGCAACCCUGAUCCAGCCAUGCCGCGUGUGUGAAGAAGGCCCUCGGGUUGUAAAGCACUUUCAGUGAGGAAGAACGCCUGGUGGUUAAUACCCAUCAGGAAAGACAUCACUCACAGAAGAAGCACCGGCUAACUCCGUGCCAGCAGCCGCGGUAAUACGGAGGGUGCGAGCGUUAAUCGGAAUUACUGGGCGUAAAGCGCGCGUAGGUGGCUUGAUAAGCCGGUUGUGAAAGCCCCGGGCUCAACCUGGGAACGGCAUCCGGAACUGUCAAGCUAGAGUGCAGGCGAGGAAGGUAGAAUUCCCGGUGUAGCGGUGAAAUGCGUAGAGAUCGGGAGGAAUACCAGUGGCGAAGGCGGCCUUCUGGACUGACACUGACACUGAGGUGCGAAAGCGUGGGUAGCAAACAGGAUUAGAUACCCUAGUAGUC
rnacentral:rRNA from 1 species